GCCGGGAACUGGAGUGCGCCCCGCGGCCUUUUGCGCAGGCGCCGAAGCCACACCGCGAAGUACCGUUUUUUCAGGCACAAGGAAGGUUUCACCCCGUUGCCGAAAGACUAAGCGUCCCGUUGGCCAGUGCAACGAAGAACGGAGGAAGCGACGUAAGACACCGCGUAUUCGUAGGCCUUCCGCUGCGGGGAGGAGCACAGGGCCUAGCGGCAGCAAAGCGACGCCCGAGCGCGUCUCGUCUCCCGCUGUCGAUGCAGAGCAUUCUGGGAGUUGUGGUUCGGGCGUGUCGCGGAGCCCGGAUGUAAUUUCGGCUCGGGGCGUGGCGGCCAUUUUGUCUCCCCAUGUUGGGAGACGAUAUCCCAGCCGCGGUGGUGCUGCCGCUUUCGUGUGACUUUGGGUUUCCCGAGCGAGCCCGCAGCUGCACAGCAGUCCGCCUUCCCGUACCCGAGAGAAGCCGCCUCAGACCCCAGCCAGCGGGCACCCCCGGAGGCCCCGAGCCUGGCUGCAGGCCCUAGACCUGCACCAGGGGCCCAACCAGUUACCCGUAGCAUGGGCCACGUUCUCCCGCUGUAGACCGGGCUGAGGCCCGACGGCCACCCCUGGGGGAGGAGUUUUCUUAGCUUCCGGUAGGGCAGCCAGGCCGGGGUCCCACCAGACCCAGGACGUGAUACCGGUGAAGCGGCACAUACAGGAACAAGGCAGGAGGAAAAUAAUAAGCACCUUAAAGUUUCCACUUUUCGAAGAUUUCAGUUUGUAAGUAGUGAGAGCAAUGAUCUUGGCUUUGCAUGGUGCUCAGGAAGCCUUCCCCGCUCCCAAACCAGAAAGGAAUCCAUCCAGAUUUUCCUCCACUGUCUGGAUGGCCGCUCUGUGGAUGCUUCCAUCUGUAUCCAUUGCCGGCACCUGGUGAGGUAUGAGGAAUGGGGCCCGGCUUUCCAAACACUCUCCAGAUGCCCCACCCUCUGGAUGGCUUCUGGCUGCCCAUGGGGACACCGUGGACCUUAAUGGUGGAGGAGCCAGGAUUCCGUCUCUAGAGCCUUUGAGGUCACUCCUGACGCUGACAUGGCUGUGAAGAGCUGGGUGCCAGGCAUUACUGCCUCCAAGGUUGCUUUGCGAGGAAUAGGUGGGGCAUCAGGAAGAAGCCAGUUGCAGGCAAGGCCUCUGCUGAUGCUGCUUUUUUCUCCUGUACCCAUCCAUGGGAGGGAGCUGUGAGAUGGCCUGGCAGAACCCGCUCUUGGACCCCACAGAAUGAGAGGCUCACCCUGCACAGGAACAUCCUGGGGCAGCAGGCUCAGCACAUUUUAAAUUUUGAGUAUGAACAAAGUAAACUUCAGGGUUAAAAAAAAACACAAAAA
ensembl:lncRNA SRRM2-AS1 SRRM2 antisense RNA 1